rnacentral:rRNA from 1 species
UUAAAUUGAAGAGUUUGAUCAUGGCUCAGAUUGAACGCUGGCGGCAGGCCUAACACAUGCAAGUCGAACGGUAACAGGAAGCAGCUUGCUGCUUUGCUGACGAGUGGCGGACGGGUGAGUAAUGUCUGGGAAACUGCCCGAUGGAGGGGGAUAACUACUGGAAACGGUAGCUAAUACCGCAUAACGUCGCAAGACCAAAGAGGGGGACCUUAGGGCCUCUUGCCAUCGGAUGUGCCCAGAUGGGAUUAGCUAGUAGGUGGGGUAAUGGCUCACCUAGGCGACGAUCCCUAGCUGGUCUGAGAGGAUGACCAGCCACACUGGAACUGAGACACGGUCCAGACUCCUACGGGAGGC